rnacentral:rRNA from 1 species
AAACUUUCAACAACGGAUCUCUUGGUUCCGGCAUCGAUGAAGAACGCAGCGAAACGCGAUAGUUAAUGUGAAUUGCAGAAUUCAKUGAAUCAUCGAGUCUUUGAACGCACAUUGCGCCCCCUGGUAUUCCGGGGGGCAUGCCUGUCCGAGCGUCAUU